CCUCUGUCCUGGGGUAGCAAUUUACAUCUUUCUCUUCAAAGUGGGGAGCAAGCACUGGCCCAGAGAUUAAGGAAGCGGCUGCAGAGAAGGAGAGAUGGGUACAUCUUCCACUGUCAACACCUCAGGUACCUAGCUCCUGUGAGACUCCACGGGUCCAGCCAAGUUCCUCUGCUCUCCUGCCACCUGGAUUUCCCUGGGAGCCUUGACAGAUGCGGAGUACCUUGCAGCAAGGUCAGAGAAGGCCACGUUGGGUGGAGGCCGUGGCCGUGCAACUCUCACCUUCCUCCCUGGUGGAACGCGGUGUGCGCCGCAGGCAGCGUGUGUCCAGCAUCCUCAGGCCCAUGUGUAUGGGCUCUCAUGGGGCGGUGGUUUCCUCCUCCCCUGGAAAUGAGUUGGUUUGAGUCAGAGGCAUGGGGAUUUGUUGAGCCACUGACCCUGCAGUCCACCUCUGUGGCAGCCCGAGUGCACCUGGUCUCCAGGACUGCUGGUCUGAGUCACAUCCACAGAUCGGGGCCACUUAGCCUCAUGGUUUGGUCCAGAACACGUUGCUGGCCAUUUCUGUUAAGACAAACUUGUCACCUCCCAAACUCAGAAAAUGUCUCUGUCCCUGAUAGGCACUCCUUUCCCAGAAAGUGAGAAGUCCUUCCUAGUGUCCUCGUUGGCUGUUUUGAAUUUCACAAAAUUAAAUUUUUUGACUGUUCAUGAAAACCAGGAGCGUGAGGAAAUUUGUGAGGAAGAAUUUGGCAAAGAUUCAUGACACCAGGGUCCCGUGAAUUCUGGCUUUUACCACUUAACGUUCACCUACCCAAGCCCAUGACGCAUUCCUCUUUUGUUAACUUAGUUUGUUUUAAAUCUAAAAUAAAUAAAUAAAAUGUAUAGUCU